UGGGAGGAGGUAGCAGUACUUCUCCCUAGCUACCCAGCAGUUGUUUGACUCAACCUACAAUACCUCCAGGCUGAAACAUUCAUAAAAGACUUUGCCAAAGGAAUCCAAGGGAGAAAAAGGCAACCUCAGUUUCCAUGGAAAAAUUUCCCUGUUUGACUCCAUAAUAAAGAACUCAUCUCCGGGGUCAGAGAAGAGGUCCUCAGACACAAGAGGUGAAUGCGUUUCCCAGGCAUCAAAACAUUCUGUCUCCAGGACCUACAUGACCUCAAUCAUCCAUGGUCCUGAGAUUAGUCUCACCUCACUUUCUGGCCUGCUUCUGCAGAUCAGAAGCCCAGGACUGGCCUGGGGGAUUUAUUCCUGAGGACAGGGCCCUGGCAUGGAAAUGUGUGUGGAGCAAUGUGCCACAGAAUGGAGAGAGAGAGAGGAGAGGUGGAAGAGGAGGCCGGAAAAACGAGUCCAACCUAGUGAUGGGGCAGAAUUUGGGUCAGCCCUUAUGUGUCUGCCUUCAACUCCUCCUGACUGAGACCAUUGGACCUCCCAGCUGCUAGGUCCAAAUCCUACUCCUUGAAGGACCUCGAAACUCCACCUGUGCUGAUCAAAUUCUCACAAUAGGAAUAGCACAAAGACCAAAUCGCUGAAAAGAGAAAUGCUGAAUGAAAAAUCAAGCAAGAAGUUAAUCUGUUUGGCACCUUGUUACCUCUCUUCUGAGUGUAAUCUGGGAGGCUGUUAAUUGCUUGAUUUACUGUAUAGUCACUGCCAACAACAAUAAAUACAGUUAAUUAUUA